rnacentral:lncRNA from 1 species
GAAUAGCCAAAGCAAUCCUCAGCAAGAAGAGUGAAGCAGGAGGCAUCACAAUACCAGACCUUAAACUAUACUACAAAGCAAUAGUAAUAAAAAUGGUGUGGUAUUGGCACCAAAUUAGACAUGUGGACCAAUGGUACAGAAUAGAAGACAGAGACAAACCCACAUAAAUACAGUUAUCUUGUAUUAGACAAAGGCACCAAAACAUUCACUGGAGAAAAGAUAGCCUCUUCAACAAAUAGUGCUGGGAAAAUUGGAAAUCCACAUGUAACAAAAUGAAUAAACCCCCAUCUCUCACCCUGCAGGAAACUCAACUCAAAGUGGAUUAAAGACAUAGGCACCAGAUAGAGACUCUGCACCUAAUAGAAGAAAAAGUAGGCCCAAAUCUCUGCCAUGUCACCCUAGGAUCUGACUUCCCUAACAAGACUUCUAAAGCAAGAAGUAAAAUCAAGAAUCAAUAAAUGGGAUGGACUCCAACUAAAAAGCUUCUUAACAAAGAAAACAAUAAGUAAUGUGAGGAGAGAGCCUACAGAAUGGGAGAAAAUCUUUACCACAGGCACCUCAGAUGCAGCAUUAAUCUCCAGGAUAUAUAAAGAACUCAAAAAACCAAAUAACCCAAUCAAUAAAUGGGCUAAGGAAUUGAAUUGACUCUUCACAGAAGAAGAA